rnacentral:rRNA from 1 species
GCGGCGUGCUUAACACAUGCAAGUCGAACGGAAAGGCCCUUCGGGGUGCUCGAGUGGCGAACGGGUGAGUAACACGUGGGUGAUCUGCCCUGCACUUUGGGAUAAGCCUGGGAAACUGGGUCUAAUACCGAAUAUGACCGCAUUCUUCAUGGGGUGUGGUGGAAAGCUUUUGCGGUGUGGGAUGGGCCCGCGGCCUAUCAGCUUGUUGGUGGGGUAAUGGCCUACCAAGGCGACGACGGGUAGCCGGCCUGAGAGGGUGACCGGCCACACUGGGACUGAGAUACGGCCCAGACUCCUACGGGAGGCAGCAGUGGGGAAUAUUGCACAAUGGGCGCAAGCCUGAUGCAGCGACGCCGCGUGAGGGAUGACGGCCUUCGGGUUGUAAACCUCUUUCAGCACAGACGAAGCGCAAGUGACGGUAUGUGCAGAAGAAGGACCGGCCAACUACGUGCCAGCAGCCGCGGUAAUACGUAGGGUCCGAGCGUUGUCCGGAAUUACUGGGCGUAAAGAGCUCGUAGGUGGUUUGUCGCGUUGUUCGUGAAAACUCACAGCUUAACUGUGGGCGUGCGGGCGAUACGGGCAGACUUGAGUACUGCAGGGGAGACUGGAAUUCCUGGUGUAGCGGUGGAAUGCGCAGAUAUCAGGAGGAACACCGGUGGCGAAGGCGGGUCUCUGGGCAGUAACUGACGCUGAGGAGCGAAAGCGUGGGGAGCGAACAGGAUUAGAUACCCUGGUAGUCCACGCCGUAAACGGUGGGUACUAGGUGUGGGUUUCCUUCCUUGGGAUCCGUGCCGUAGCUAACGCAUUAAGUACCCCGCCUGGGGAGUACGGCCGCAAGGCUAAAACUCAAAGAAAUUGACGGGGGCCCGCACAAGCGGCGGAGCAUGUGGAUUAAUUCGAUGCAACGCGAAGAACCUUACCUGGGUUUGACAUGCACAGGACGCCAGUAGAGAUAUUG